rnacentral:rRNA from 1 species
UACGUAGGGGGGCAAGCGUUGUCCGGAAUCAUUGGGCGUAAAGAGCGUGUAGGCGGCCCGGUAAGUCCGCUGUGAAAGUCCAGGGCUCAACCCUGGGAUGCCGGUGGAUACUGUCGGGCUCGAGUCCGGAAGAGGAGUGUGGAAUUCCUGGCGUAGCGGUGAAAUGCGCAGAUAUCAGGAGGAACACCAAUGGCGAAGGCAGCACUCUGGGGACGUGACUGACGCUAG